rnacentral:RNase_P_RNA from 1 species
CGAGUCGUAUGAACGGUCGCUGCCUUGUGCCUUGUGCAUGAGGGAGAGGAAAGUCCGGGCUUCACAGGGCAGGAUGCCUGAUAACGUCAGGUGGGAGUGAUCCUAAGGAAAGUGCAACAGAAAGUAUACCGCCGUGCCGUAAGGCUCGGUAAGGGUGAAAUGGCAGUGUAAGAGACUACCGGCUGUCCGGUAACGGAGAGCGCAUUGUAAACCCCAUCCGAAGCAAGUCCAUGAAGAAGCGUUAUGGUUGCCCGCCAUGCUUCGGGUAGGACGCUUGAGGUAUUUGGUGACAUAUAUCCUAGAUAGAUGACCGUUUUCAAAGACAUAACCCGGCUUACAGUAUGACUUAGGGA